GGAAAAUGGGAGGGAGGAGCGGAGGUAAGGCGGGGGUGGAAGGGGUUGUGCGGAGUGAUUGGGGUGGAAGGGUGCGUAGGCGGGUGUAUAAGUCAGUGGUGAAAGCCGGCAGCUUAAAGGUGGAUGUGCCAUUGGUACUGCAGAGCUUGAGAACAGACGAGGUAGGCGGAAUUGACGGUGGAGCGGUGAAAUGCUUAGAUAUCGUCAAGAACACCGAUAGCGAAGGCAGCUUACUAGACUGUAACUGACGCUGAUGCACGAAAGUGUGGGGAUCAAACAGGAUUAGAUACCCUAGUAGUC
rnacentral:rRNA from 1 species